rnacentral:lncRNA from 1 species
UUUGUCCAAACUAGUGCAAUAAUCUUGAACACAACACUAAACCCCAUUUCACCUCACCCAACGUCUGUAUAGUCAGUCUAUCCUGCAUUUAUGAUGAUUAUAGAUUGAAGGGAGGUAACUGACAGUUGAGCUAGGAAUGACUGAUCACUGUGUUAUGAUGGCUGACCUCCCUUGGUUCCAGCUUUUGCAACAGUUGCAAUGAAUGUUUAACAAAUUUGAUUUUAGUUAAGAGAGUAAACCUAUGUAUUUCCAAUGACAGGCAAUGAUACCCCCACUGAAACGAACGAUAUGAAUGGUGCAACUUCCCUGACAGGGACCACAACUCUGGCCAUUGUGUGCCUGCUCGCUGGAGUGCUACAGAAAGUGUUAUGAGCUUCUGAGAUUAUACAACAAUAAGAGUAGGGAAAUAUGAAGCUGCAAGUGCUGAAGAGGCAACAGCGAGUCCAGAUUAACUUGACCUCCCCACCACUCAAGCCUGCAGACAGCUGACAAUAUUACUUGGCUGUAUGAUAUAUCAAAAGUUUGCUGAGAUACUCUCAGAAGUUUGGACAGUUGAUAGUCAUCAAAAGUUUACUGAGAAAGUUGGCUCUUGAAACGUUUCAAUUUCAGUUUCAAGGAACUGAAACUUCCGGAACGUCAAGCUUAUUUGGAGAAUAUUCCUUGCCAGUGUCUUACUACAGGCUCCUUUUAUGUCAAGUUAAUUCACUGUUGUUUUAAUAGACUUUUAUUCCAGACAGUCUAAGAUAAUAAUUUCUUCCCAUCUCAGCAAUAACUGAUCUAAGUUGUUAUGGCCUUAAGUGUUAAAUGUUGUCGCCUGAAAUCCAGAUAUGUGUUUAGUGUAAUUAAUUCAGGGAAGUUGAGAAGACAACUAUUUGGAAAGCAAGGUUUAUGUCACUAUUUUCCUCAUCAGUCUUCGUAUUUUUGAAGACUGGUGUUUUUGUGUGUACGUGUUCAAAAACUGUUACCUGUAUUGACUUUUAAAGUUCUUCUGCCUGUAACAUUGUUUAAAUACAUUAUGUCAUACUUCUGUUUAUCCACCAGGCGUGGUGGUAUAAUCUUUCAUACUUACGUUCUUCUGCGUGUGUUGUGUUUAAAUACAUUAUGUCAUACUUCUGUUUAUCCACCAGGCGUGGUGGUAUAAUUUUUCAUACUUACGUUCUUCUGCCUGUGUUGUGCAGAUAUGUUCCCCUCUUACUUAAAUUCGUCUCCUUCAGUUUUCUGUGCAGCAGCCUUUGAGCCACAUCUGUAUUUAUGCCUACCAUUACCUUUGGUAUAUAUACUCAACUACAUUCAAAAGGGCACACUUGCACUUCGUUGUUGUGUUAUGUGUACGUUUAAGAAGGAUGCUGUAUUUAUACACACUAUUUUGUCUGAAAGGAAAUUGUUUUGUAUAAUCGUGUACGGCCUCCACCUCAGACAAGUGCUAUUAUAGAAUUAGAGAAUACAAACAGCCCCACACUUGCAACCUACCUCAGAUUCGAUGGGGUGGGGGAGUGUGGCCUGUUUCAGCAGUGGGAUACCAUGUAUAUUCGCGUGCAUGUUGGUCUGGCGUAAUGCUCAGUGUACCUGUAGAUAGGUUGUCAUUGUAACCGUGUAAUGCAAGAAAAGCUAUCUCCCUUUCACUGAGGUCAAAAUAUGUCUUAUUUUGUUAUGUAAACUAUACCUUUAUGCAACAUUCAUACAUUCCAUUCCUCCAGGACUGAAGGAGUUAUAAGUCCACAGUUGGAUUGCAGUGGAAGGGAGGUAACUCUCUUGGUGUAGCAACAACAUUCGGUGAUGUGUAUGAGACUAUUUUGAAAGCAGCCAGUUGAACAACCCUAACCCUGGCAGUCAGUGGGCCUCACACAUUAUAUGGGAGUUUAUUGUCUGCUUUUUAUAGUGUUAAGAAUUAAAAGUUUUUUCAACAAUGAUGUAUACUAUAUGUGUGACUCAUGGAUAAAUAGAAACAAUAUCUAUCUACCUGGCUUUGUAGUGAUUUUUUUAGAAAAAACACACUAGUUUUCCUUCUGGCUUCAAUCUUACACGCGUCUUAAAGGGUAAAUGCUUCCAACCUCUUUCCCAUGUUCAGCUGUGUGGAGCAGUGAUAAAAUUGAUUAAAAUACUCAAAAAAAGAGGACUCUGGUCCAGGAUAUAUUGACUGAA